GUUUUUCGUAGCUCAAGAAACAGAAGAGAGACUUCAAAUAAAUUUUAGAAAUGCAGAUAAUACAGCAGAAAGAUGCAGAAAGGGUUCUCAAAAAAAUUGGAUUGUCAAGAUGCAGCCUUACUCUGGGCCCUACAUGGGUAUUUUGUGCCUUUCCAAAAAGUUGUGAGAAAACACAAAUAGGGAAAGAAACGUUCACGAGGUUUACUAUCUUGAUAAAUUGCAAUUAAAUUACUUAUUGAUAAAUGAACUAAACUACAAAAAAUAAAAAUUAUAAAAUUAAA